CUGGAGGGCCAGAAGGUGGGGCGGUACCUCAGGAUAAUGGCAGCAGAAGGCAAAGGGAGCAGACAGCUGGCAAGCUCUGUCCCAAUAUGCUUCCCUGAAAGAGGCGAGGAAAUUUCAGAAGAUGCAAUGCCUGAAUGGCUCACUUUGCAGGAAAACAGAAGAACCAAGGCAGGACUGUACUGCCGCAAUCUCGGCUCACUGCAGCCUCCCUGCCUGAUUCUCCUGCCUCAGCCUGCCGAGUGCCUGGGAUUGCAGGCGCCCACCGCCACGCCUGACUGGUUUUUGUAUUUUUUGGUGGAGACGGGGUUUCGCGGUGUUGGCUGGGCUGGUCUCAGCUCCUGACCUCGAGUGAUCUGCCCGCCUCGGCCUCCCGAGGUGCCGGGAUUGCAGACGGGAGUCUCGCUUACUCAGUGCUCAAUGUUGCCCAGGUUGGAGUGCAGUGGCGUGAUCUCGGCUCGCUAAAACCUCCACCUCCCAGCCACCUGCCCUGGCCUCCCAAAGUGCUGAGAUUGCAGCCUCUGCCCGGCUGCCACCCCGUCUAGGAAGUGAGGAGCAUCUCUGCCUGGCCGCCUAUUGUCUGGGAUGUGAGGAGCCCCUCUGCCCGGUGCCCAGUCUGGGAAGUGAGGAGCGCCUCUUCCCGGCCGCCAUCCCGUCUAGGAAGUGAGGAACAUCUCUGCCUGGCCGCCCAUCAUCUGGGAUGCGAGGAGCCCCUCUGCCUGGCUGCCCAGUCUGGGAAGUGAGGAGCGCCUCUUCCCGGGCCAUCAUCCCGUCUAGGAAGUGAGGAACGUCUCUGCCUGGCCACCCAUCAUCUGGGAUGUGGGGAGCGCCUCUGCCCGGCCGCCCUGUCUGGGAGAUGAGGAGCAUCUCUACCCAGCCACCACCCAGUCUGGGAAGUGAGGAGCGCCUCUGCCCGGCCGCCACCCCGUCUGGGAGGUGAGGAGCGUCUCUACCCGGCCGCCACCCCAUCUGGGAGGAAUACAACAUGUUUAAGACCACAGAACAUCUGCAUAGGCUGUAAAUUUCGUUGAAUGAUGGAUGCAAAGAUGGAAGACAGAUGGAUAGAGGAAAAGACAGAAUCAGAUACUGGAUGAGUUAGUACUGCUGCCUGUGCUUCAGAGCUGUCUUAUUACCACAAGGCCGGCAAGCAUCAAUGUCCCCACAUCCCCCUCUGCCUCCCCCUGAAAUGUACCGAUUUAUAUGAAAAUUAAGAUUACAAAUUAAAGCCUGGCUAUCCUGGAGUUUUCCAGUUCAUCAGCCAUCCAAUAAAAAUGAUGUCAAGCCUGUAUGCAUAAUUCCCGGAAGAUUACUUUCGUCCUUACAGCUAAGCCCUGUCCCUGAUAUGAAAGAUCUCUAUCCACUUUUAUUGAAAUAAAGAACUAACAUCAUAAUCCCAAUAUUGAGGUAUAAUCUUCAUUAUCUCCUGACCCUCUUGAGGUUCCCCCAAUCUAUAUUACUUCAGAUUUGGUUUAUGUGUAAUCCUUAUGUAUUUACUUUUAUUGAGAUAGGAUUAAAAACUAAAAAAAAAGCUUCAA
rnacentral:lncRNA from 1 species